AACGAACGCUGGCGGCAUGCCUAACACAUGCAAGUCGAACGGGAUCCUAGCUUGCUAGGUGAGAGUGGCGGACGGGUGAGUAACACGUGGGAACCUGCCUUUUGGUUCGGGAUAACCGCGGGAAACUGCGGCUAAUACCGGAUGCUCCCGAGAGGGGAAAGAUUUAUCGCCAGAAGAGGGGCCCGCGUCCGAUUAGGUAGUUGGUGGGGUAGAGGCCUACCAAGCCGACGAUCGGUAGCUGGUCUGAGAGGAUGAUCAGCCACACUGGGACUGAGAUACGGCCCAGACUCGUACGGGAGGCAGCAGUGGGGAAUAUUGGACAAUGGGGGCAACCCUGAUCCAGCAAUGCCGCGUGAGUGAUGAAGGCCUUAGGGUUGUAAAGCUCUUUUGCCAGGGAAGAUGAUGACUGUACCUGGAGAAUAAGCCCCGGCUAACUUCGUGCCAGCCGCCGCCGUAACAC
rnacentral:rRNA from 1 species